rnacentral:rRNA from 1 species
UUGCGCCUACGGGAGGCAGCAGUGGGGAAUAUUGCACAAUGGGGGAAACCCUGAUGCAGCAACGCCGCGUGAGUGAAGAAGGUUUUCGGAUUGUAAAGCUCUGUUAGCAGGGAGGAGGAAGGACGGUACCUGCAGAGGAAGCCACGGCUAACUACGUGCCAGCAGCCGCGGUAAUACGUAGGUGGCAAGCGUUGUUCGGAAUAACUGGGCGUAAAGGAGGGGAGGGGGGUAAAAAAAGUAAGAUGUUAAA